rnacentral:rRNA from 1 species
GACGGAGGGUGCAAACGUUGUUCGGAAUCACUGGGCAUAAAGAGCACGUAGGCUGCGCGCUAAGUCAGGUGUGAAAUCCCCCGGCUCAACCGGGGAACUGCACCUGAUACUGGCGUGCUCGAGGACGGUAGGGGAGAGCGGAAUUCCCGGUGUAGCGGUGAAAUGCGCAGAUAUCGGGAAGAACACCGGUGGCGAAGGCGGCUCUCUGGACCUGUCCUGACGCUCAGGCGCGAAAGCUAGGGGAGCGAACAGG